UACGAAGGGGGCUAGCGUUGCUCGGAAUCACUGGGCGUAAAGGGUGCGUAGGCGGGUCUUUUAAGUCAGGGGUGAAAUCCUGGAGCUCAACUCCAGAACUGCCUUUGAUACUGAGAUCUUGAGUUCGGGAGAGGUGAGUGGAACUGCGAGUGUAGAGGUGAAAUUCGUAGAUAUUCGCAAGAACACCAGUGGCGAAGGCGGCUCAC
rnacentral:rRNA from 1 species